UUGAGAGCGGCGCACGGGUGCGGAACACGUGUGCAACCUGCCUUUAUCUGGGGGAUAGCCUUUCGAAAGGAAGAUUAAUACCCCAUAAUAUAAGAAACGGCAUCGUUUUUUAUUGAAAGCUCCGGCGGAUAGAGAUGGGCACGCGCAAGAUUAGAUAGUUGGUGAGGUAACGGCUCACCAAGUCAAUGAUCUUUAGGGGGCCUGAGAGGGUGAUCCCCCACACUGGUACUGAGACACGGACCAGACUCCUACGGGAGGCAGCAGUGAGGAAUAUUGGACAAUGGGUGAGAGCCUGAUCCAGCCAUCCCGCGUGAAGGACGACGGCCCUAUGGGUUGUAAACUUCUUUUGUACAGGGAUAAACCUACCCUCGUGAGGGUAGCUGAAGGUACUGUACGAAUAAGCACCGGCUAACUCCGUGCCAGCAGCCGCGGUAAUACGGAGGGUGCAAGCGUUAUCCGGAUUUAUUGGGUUUAAAGGGUCCGUAGGCGGAUCUGUAAGUCAGUGGUGAAAUCUCCCAGCUUAACUGUGAAACUGCCAUUGAUACUGCAGGUCUUGA
rnacentral:rRNA from 1 species